UAACGAAUAUUGGGCAAUGGGCGAAAGCCUGACCCAGCAAUGCCGCGUGCAGGACGAAGUCCUUCGGGAUGUAAACUGCUGUCAGGGGUCCGCAAGCGAAGGGGUCCAACAGGCCCUGGAGUUGAGCAGCCCCAGAGGAAGCCUCGACUAACUCUGUGCCAGCAGUCGCGGUAAGACAGAGGAGGCAAGCGUUGUUCGGAAUCACUGGGCUUAAAGCGCGUGUAGGCGGCUUAGAAAGUGUCGUGUGAAAUCCCGCGGCUCAACCGCGGAACUGCACGGCAAACUACUUGGCUUGAGGUCGGUAGAGGUGCCUGGAACUCUAGGUGGAGCGGUGAAAUGCGUAGAUAUCUAAGGGAACGCCAGGGGCGAAAGCGGGUAACUGGGCUUGUCCUGACGCUGAGGCACGAAAGCAAGGGGAGCAAACA
rnacentral:rRNA from 1 species